rnacentral:rRNA from 1 species
UACGGAGGGGGCUAGCGUUGUUCGGAAUUACUGGGCGUAAAGCGCACGUAGGCGGCUUUGCAAGUCAGAGGUGAAAGCCCGGGGCUCAACCCCGGAAUUGCCUUUGAGACUGCAUCGCUAGAAUUGUGGAGAGGUAAGUGGAAUUCCGAGUGUAGAGGUGAAAUUCGUAGAUAUUCGGAAGAACACCAGUGGCGAAGGCGACUUACUGGACACAUAUUGACGCUGAGGUGCGAAAGCGUGGGAGCAAACAGG